AGGGAAUCUUCCACAAUGGACGCAAGUCUGAUGGAGCAACGCCGCGUGAGUGAAGAAGGCUUUCGGGUCGUAAAACUCUGUUAUUGAAGAAGAACGUGUGUGACAGUAACUGGUCAUGCAGUGACGGUAUUCAAUCAGAAAGUCACGGCUAACUACGUGCCAGCAGCCGCGGUAAUACGUAGGUGGCAAGCGUUGUCCGGAUUUAUUGGGCGUAAAGCGAGUGCAGGCGGUCUUUUAAGUCUGAUGUGAAAGCCUUCGGCUUAACCGAAGAAGGGCAUCGGAAACUGGGAGACUUGAGUGCAGAAGAGGAGAGUGGAACUCCAUGUGUAGCGGUGAAAUGCGUAGAUAUAUGGAAGAACACCAGUGGCGAAGGCGGCUCUCUGGUCUGUAACUGACGCUGAGGCUCGAAAGCGUGGGUAGCAAAC
rnacentral:rRNA from 1 species